UGUUUGUUUUUUUGAAACAGCAUUUUAUUAUCUGCCUUUUUUAAAUGGAAAUGUUUCCUCUAGCUCUAGGUACGAAUUUUUGUUUCUUGCAACACUUCAAUACAAACAGAAAACUGGCAUUUCCCCCCUUGCCUGUAAUAACCCUUAAACAUGACUGCAGUAUUUAGCUACAAUUUUACAGUUUGUUCUAAUAUUUGCAGCACUGUGGUCUGUUCUGUCUUGGUGGGAGGAUUCUGUGUAAAUCAGGGAGACUAGAAUCUGCCCUAUUCUAAGUUUUUACUAAAACGGUAUCUUUUGAUACUUCGCUAUCAGAACAGCAUGCCUAGUGGAAACUGUUUCUGAGGCACCUAUUGCCUUGAUAUUCAUGGCACUACCCUAAUUCCAGAUGUUCACUGGAAAGGAGGCAACAUUGUGUAACUGCAUCUUUGGAACAAUGUAUGAAAAGAGCCAGAUUAAACGUGUUUUUUCUAUCAAGCUACUUGUUUUCUGCAGUUCUUUAAAGGUUUUCUUAGAUUUUACACAGGAUUUAGUCUAGGUCUUAACUCCCCCAAUCUAGACACACAGUAAUGAAUCACUGCAUAAUGUUUGUUCCCUGUUUUUUCUAUUAGUGUGGGGGCCAAAUUUGUAGUGUCACAAGAAGGUGCAGUUUUUUACAAAAGCUGUAACUAAAAACUAAGUUUUUUUUACCAAUAAUGAAUUGAACUCUUACAUUUACUUCGCAGCUUCCUUGCAGGUCAUGUGCCAUGCCAUGCAAGCUCCCUAGUUCCUGUCAUAUUACCUCCUGGGCUCCUGUCAUAUUAUGUGAGCCCGUACUGGGUGAACUUGCUGCACCAUGGACUCAUCCUAUGUGUAUGACCCUACCCUAAUACCCCCCCCCAACUCACCGACCCCACUACCACAUGCAACCGUCACUGUCCCACUGCACUGCCCCAGUGGGGUCCUGGGUCCCUCUGCCCCACAGGCAGCAUCACUGCCCUGCCCUGCCCCUAUGGGUGGAGAUGGGCAAUAGGUGAUAGAGGAAGGAGGGGCAGCCCAGGAAUUCUGGUGGCAGCAGCA